GACGAACGCUGGCGGCGUGCUUAACACAUGCAAGUCGAACGGAAAGGCCCCAGCUUGGUGGGGUGCACGAGUGGCGAACGGGUGAGUAACACGUGAGUGACCUGCCCUUGACUUUGGGAUAAGUUCGGGAAACUGGGGCUAAUACCGGAUAGGAGCUUGGGGUGGAUAGUGGGGGGGGGAGAGUUUCCGCGGUGGGAGAUGGACUCGCGGUUUAUCAGCUUGUUGGUGGGGUAGUGGCAUACAAAGGCUGAGAGGGGUAGCCGGCCUGAGAGGGGGGACGGCCACAUUGGGACUGAGAAACGGCCCAGACUCCUACGGGAGGCAGCAGUGGGGAAUAUUGCACAAUGGGCGGAAGCCUGAUGCAGCGACGCCGCGUGGGGGAUGACGGCCUUCGGGUUGUAAACUCCUUUCACCAUCGACGAAGGGUUUCUGACGGUAGAUGGAGAAGAAGCACCGGCUAACUACGUG
rnacentral:rRNA from 1 species